AGCUAAUACCCGAUACAUCCUUUUCCUGCAUGGGAGAAGGAGGAAAGGCGGAGCAAUCUGUCACUUGUGGAUGGGCCUGCGGCGCAUUAGCUAGUUGGUGGGGUAAAGGCCUACCAAGGCGACGAUGCGUAGCCGACCUGAGAGGGUGAUCGGCCACACUGGGACUGAGACACGGCCCAGACUCCUACGGGAGGCAGCAGUAGGGAAACUUCCGCAAUGGGCGAAAGCCUGACGGAGCAACGCCGCGUGAGUGAUGAAGGUUUUCGGAUCGUAAAGCUCUGUUGCCAGGGAAGAACGCUUGAGAGAGUAACUGCUCUUGAGGUGACGGUACCUGAGAAGAAAGCCCCGGCUAACUACGUG
rnacentral:rRNA from 1 species